rnacentral:misc_RNA from 1 species
AACGCACCUUGCGCUCCUUGGUAUUCCGAGGAGCAUGCCUGUUUGAGUGUCAUUAAAUUCUCAACCUCACCAGUUUUGUUAUGAGACUGUGUAAGGCUUGGAUGUGGGGGUUUUUGCAGGUUGCCUCUGUGCGGUCUGCUCCCCUGAAAUGUAUUAGCGAGUUCACUAGGCUCCAUCUAUUGGUGUGAUAAUUAUCUACGCCGUGGAAUGGGUUUAGACUUGCUUCUAACCGUCUGCAAAGACAACUUUUGACAAUUUGACCUCAAAUCAGGUAGGACUACCCGCUGAACUUAA